CUUUUUUACUCCCAUACAAAAGAAGUUUACAACCCGUAGGGCAGUCAUCCUUCACGCGACUUGGCUGGUUCAGACUCUCGUCCAUUGACCAAUAUUCCUCACUGCUGCCUCCCGUAG
rnacentral:rRNA from 1 species